rnacentral:rRNA from 1 species
CUACGGGUCGCUCCAGUAAGGAAUAUUGCGCAAUGGAGGCAACUCUGACGCAGCCAUGCCGCGUGCAGGAAGAAGGCCUUAUGGGUCGUAAACUGCUUUUAUUUAGGAAUAAACCCCCGAACGUGUUCGGGGCUGAAGGUACUAAACGAAUAAGCACCGGCUAACUCCGUGCCAGCAGCCGCGGUAAUACGGAGGGUGCAAGCGUUAUCCGGAUUUAUUGGGUUUAAAGGGUGCGCAGGCGGGCUAUUAAGUCAGUGGUGAAAUCCCGGGGCUCAACUCCGGAACUGCCAUGGAUACUGAUAGUCUUGAGUUUGGUUGAAGUGGGCGGAAUGUAGGAUGUAGCGGUGAAAUGCAUAGAUAUGCUACAGAACACCAAUCGCGAAGGCAGCUCACUAAGCCAAAACUGACGCUCAUGCACGAAAGCGUGGGGAUCAAACAGGAUUAGAUACCCCUGUAGUC